rnacentral:lncRNA from 1 species
GCUGGUUUGCAGUGUCAGUGGAGCAGCUCCCGGGAGACCCCGCGCCGGAGAACGUGCGUUGGGGUGAACUCCGCCGGGCCUACAGGUGAUACAGGAUUAACGCACAGCUCUUCCGCCCCACACCAGGUCGCGGGAUCCACACACUGCUCUCCGGGAAGGACGGUGCAAGAAAAGCAGGUUUGUGGGUCACCGUCAGAGCUCCCCGUCCCUCCCCCUCCCAUACGCACCGCUGC